GAUAUACCCGAUGAGUCCAUGAGUGCUUUGGAAUGCAGUAGAGUAACAGUCAGUCGCUUUAGUACACCGUCAAUUCGAAGUUAUUCUAAUACCCCAACCAAUUUGGCAAGUACACCAUGUUCCAGCAGGACAAUCAUUCCGACUUUCCUUAGAACACCUUUAUCCGGAGAAGUUCGUUCUAGCAGGUCACUUACUUCUGUCACAGAGGGUAUAUCAAGAAAAGAACAGACUACAGCAUCAGCAAACAAGAUUGACACUUUAACAAAGAAGUCAUCUAAAUGAAAAGGCAACUGGUAAAAGUGCAAGAAAAACAAAUUAAUGUUGAAAAGAAAGUGGAUAUUAUGAUUCAAAUACUACAAUCAAAAACAAAUGAACGAAAAAAGGGAAGCCAAAAGAUUAACGUCCCU